rnacentral:rRNA from 1 species
UACGUAGGGUGCAAGCGUUAAUCGGAAUUACUGGGCGUAAAGCGUGCGCAGGCGGUUGUGCAAGACAGAUGUGAAAUCCCCGGGCUCAACCUGGGAAUUGCAUUUGUGACUGCACGGCUAGAGUGUGUCAGAGGGGGGUAGAAUUCCACGUGUAGCAGUGAAAUGCGUAGAGAUGUGGAGGAAUACCGAUGGUCGAAGGCAGCCCCCGUGGGAUAACACUGACGCUCAUGCACGAAAGCGUGGGGAGCAACAG